rnacentral:rRNA from 1 species
GACGAACGCUGGCGGCGUGCUUAACACAUGCAAGUCGAACGGUAAGGCCCUUCGGGGUACACGAGUGGCGAACAGGUGAGUAACACGUGGGUGAUCUGCCCUGCACUUCGGGAUAAGCCUGGGAAACUGGGUCUAAUACCGGAUAGGACUCCGGCCUGCAUGGUCUGGGGUGGAAAGCUUUUGCGGUGUGGGAUGGGCCCGCGGCCUAUCAGCUUGUUGGUGGGGUGAUGGCCUACCAAGGCGACGACGGGUAGCCGGCCUGAGAGGGUGACCGGCCACACUGGGACUGAGAUACGGCCCAGACUCCUACGGGAGGCAGCAGUGGGGAAUAUUGCACAAUGGGCGCAAGCCUGAUGCAGCGACGCCGCGUGAGGGAUGACGGCCUUCGGGUUGUAAACCUCUUUCAGCAUCGACGAAGCGAAAGUGACGGUAGGUGCAGAAGAAGGACCGGCCAACUACGUGCCAGCCGCCGCGGUAA